GCCUCACCUGCUUAGGAGGCCAAAGCAGCUCCUGUCCUGACCUGAGAGCGUUGCCGUGCCGAAGAGGGGAAACAAGAAGAACAAGAGUAACAGAGUUCACAGCGGCAAGCUUGUAGUUCGCAUGAGUUGUGGCUAAGAAUGCAGGUGGGAUGGGUUGGGGCUGCCCGCUCCACUUCCACAGCAGCCACGAGCACUACGCGGACACAAGCAACAGCCUCCACGCAACUGCAAAGGGUUUUUGCGGGCUUCACGGUGGCCACCCUUAAAGCGUCGCAUGUCUUGCGGCUGGUCACAGACGAAGCCCUACCAUCCUAUAGUUUUUUCCUCUACUAACAAGAGUCGAAGGGUGCGUGGAUGAGAAGGACGGCAGCGCACGCGUCGGCGACGGUGCAACUAAGGCUCACCAUGCUUUGCAUUGAUGCCCUCCGCAGCAGCUCCCCUCUGCUCAUCGAGCUUAGGUUUCACGGUUGUUGCGGGCUUACAACGCCGCUGGGUCCGGCAGUUCUGCCCGUAUAAACCGCUUCAGCGAAGCGAUCUGCUUCGUAGCGUAAUGCGGCCUCGUGGUGCAGAUUGACCAAACUGGUUAGAGGCAUAAUAACUCACCCCAAUUGCACCCCUAGCUAUGUCCUUGUCCAAGUAACUCGCCGCCACCGCUACAUAAUUGUGUAAUUCAUGGGGUAGUCUGCUAUUGCUAUGAUACGCUGCGCUUUGCUAUGGAAUCUUGUCUGUUUCUAUAGAA